AGAGCGAACGCUGGCGGCAGGCCUAACACAUGCAAGUCGAACGGACUCUUCGGAGUUAGUGGCGGACGGGUGAGUAACACGUGGGAACGUGCCUUUAGGUUCGGAAUAGCUCCUGGAAACGGGUGGUAAUACCGAAUGUGCCCUUCGGGGGAAAGAUUUAUCGCCUUUAGAGCGGCCCGCGUCUGAUUAGCUUGUUGGUGAGGUAAUGGCUCACCAAGGCUACGAUCAGUAGCUGGUCUGAGAGGAUGACCAGCCACAUUGGGACUGAGACACGGCCCAAACUCCUACGGGAGGCAGCAGUGGGGAAUCUUGCGCAAUGGGCGAAAGCCUGACGCAGCCAUGCCGCGUGUGUGAUGAAGGUCUUAGGAUUGUAAAAUACUUUCACCGGUGAAGAUAAUGACUGUAGCCGGAGAAGAACGCCCGGACUAACUUCGCGCCAGCAGCCGC
rnacentral:rRNA from 1 species